UAUGGAUGUCCCUCCUAGGACAGGGCUAUAGAUGUCCCUCCUAGGACAGGUCUAUAGAUGUCCCUCCUAGGACAGGCCUAUAGAUUUCCCUCCUAGGACAGGUCUAUAGAUGUCCCUCCUAGGACAGGUUUAUAGAUGUCCCUCCUAGGACAGGUCUAUAGAUGUCCCUCCUAGGACAGGUCCAUAGAUGUCCCUCCUAGGACAGGCCUAUAGAUGUCCCUCCUAGGACAGGUCCAUAGAUGUCACUCCUAGGACAGGUCUAUAGAUUUCCCUCCUAGGACAGGUCUAUAGAUGUCCCUCCUAGGACAGGUCUAUAGAUGUCCCUCCUAGGACAGGUUUAUAGAUGUCCCUCCUAGGACAGGUCUAUAGAUGUCCCUCCUAGGACAGGUUUAUAGAUGUCCCUCCUAGGACAGGUCUAUAGGGUCGGCAAACGUUUUGACUCGCGGCCACAGUGGGUUGUAAAAUGUGACGGAGGAAGAACAAAUGGUUG
ensembl:lncRNA